CAUUAAGAAGCUAAAUUAAGCAUUAACCUUUUAAGUUAAAGACUGGGAGCUCAAAUCUCCCCUUAAUGA
rnacentral:tRNA from 1 species